AGUUUGAUAGUUGUGGUGAGCGUCAUUCGAAUAUGCAACAUUCUAGUUGACAAAGUAAUUAGUAAGUAAUAUUUUAGUUUCCUAAAUAUGUUUUUUUAACUACUUUUUUUUUGUUAAUCACUUUGAAGAGGUCGCAAGUAUACAUCUCUUUUACCCUAACCUAAGCAAAUGCAGUACAUCGCUAUCAGCAUUUCUCACAACCCUCGUAUUUCUCUCUUCUCUCCGUAAGUUUUCUCAUUCCAUUUUUUUCCUUGAAAACCCUAAGUUAUCUUCACUUUUACGGAGCAUUUUUUACCAUCUAGAAGUUGAAAGGAAAACUAUUUGUUACUCUUAAAUCCACGAGCUUCCUAUUCAACUUGUCGAUUUUGUGUUUCGGACAACUCACCAUUGAGACUCUUUCUACUGCGAGUUUAGUCUACUCUUCAAUGGUUAAGGGUGACUCAUAGAGUAUACCUGAGAAGGUGACAAAAAAGAUGGUCGAGACAAUAAGAGAAAGUAUACAGGGGUAGAAGAAUCACUAAAGAAGAAAAGGUCUCCUCGCUAGAAGAAGUUGUCCACCAAGAAAACUAUUGAGGUUGUGAUUGGAGCAAGGGAAAAAAGUCAACAAUAGUGAAGAAGAGGAAGAUCGGAAAGGAAAAUGUCAAUACAUCACAUCCAUUACUAGUGGUCUUCCAAGGGCAAAGAACCCCUCCAAGGGGACGAUGAAGAGAAAAAUCGUUGGGUUGAUGGUUGUAAGUUGUUGUUCCUUUUGGAUUGACUGCAUUAUGCAAAACAACAUGGUAUGUUCAAGUUGUUUUUGUGAAAAGGGGACACAUGUGAGACAUGAUGUUCUAGCAGGUGUGGCACAUCUGUCCCCUACAUCUGCUUCUUCAUUGGCACAUUUUCUGAGUGCGAUUUUGGAUUUGUUUCUGAUUGAUUUGUUGCUAUCUUUUAGUAAACUAAUUAAUUAGGUUUGUUUAAUGAUUUAUUAAGAUCGAAUUUAAAGAUUUGGAAAUUUAAA